AGCGAACGCUGGCGACAUGCUUAACACAUGCAAGUCGCACGAAGGUUUCGGCCUUAGUGGCGGACGGGUGAGUAACGCGUAGGAAUCUAUCCAUGGGUGGGGGAUAACACUGGGAAACUGGUGCUAAUACCGCAUGAUACCGGAGGGUCAAAGGGGCAAGUCGCCUGUGGAGGAGCCUGCGUUCGAUUAGCUAGUUGGUGGGGUAAAGGCCUACCAAGGCGAUGAUCGAUAGCGGGUUUGAGAGGAUGAUCAGCCACACUGGGACUGAGACACGGCCCAGACUACUACGGGAGGCAGCAGUGGGGAAUAUUGGACAAUGAGGGCAACCCUGAUCCAGCAAUGCCGCGUGUGUGAAGAAGGUCUUCGGAUUGUAAAGCACUUUCGACGGGGACGAUGAUGACGGUACCCGUAGAAGAAGCCCCGGCUAACUUCGUGCCAGCCGCCGCGGUAAUAC
rnacentral:rRNA from 1 species